AUUCCAGCUCCAAUAGCGUAUAUUAAAGUUGUUGCAGUUAAAAAGCUCGUAGUUGGAUUUCUGGUAGGAGUGACCGACCCGGACUUGAUUGUCCGUGUGUUUGUGUUGUCUCCGGCCAUCCUCGUGGAGAGCGUUUUUGGCAUUAAUUUGUCGGAGACGGGACCCGCGUCAUUUACUGUGAAAAAAUUAGAGUGUUUAAAGCAGGCAAUAGCUUGAAUACAUUAGCAUGGAAUAAUAAGAUAGGACUUUGGUGCUAUUUUGUUGGUUUGCACACCAAGGUAAUGAUUAACAGGAACAAUUUGGGGUAUUCGUAUUCAUAUGUCAGAGGUGAAAUUCUUGGAUUUUAGGAAGACGAACUACUGCGAAAGCAUUUAUCAAGGAUGUUUUCAUCA
rnacentral:rRNA from 1 species